AACGAACGCUGGCGGCAGGCCUAACACAUGCAAGUCGAACGCUGUAGCAAUACAGAGUGGCAGACGGGUGAGUAACACGUGGGAAUCUUCCUAUCGGUACGGAAUAGCUCAGGGAAACUUGGGGUAAUACCGCAUACGCCCUUCGGGGGAAAGAUUUAUCGCCGAUAGAUGAGCCCGCGUCUGAUUAGCUAGUUGGUGAGGUAAUGGCUCACCAAGGCGACGAUCAGUAGCUGGUCUGAGAGGAUGACCAGCCACACUGGGACUGAGACACGGCCCAGAAUCCUACGGGAGGCAGCAGUGGGGAAUAUUGGACAAUGGGCGCAAGCCUGAUCCAGCCAUGCCGCGUGAGUGACGAAGGUCUUCGGAUUGUAAAGCUCUUUUGGCGGGGACGAUAAUGACGGUACCCGCAGAAUAAGCCCCGGCUAACUUCGUGCCAGCAGCCGCGGUAAGAC
rnacentral:rRNA from 1 species